CAACCGCAGGCUCAUGUAAUGUAAUCCUUUUAGCAAGCUUACCAACUCCAUUUUAAAAGUUAAUUUCCCUGACAUAAGAGAUACUGCUGCUCACGCACUGAAACGUUAAGAAAAUAGAACUGCAGCAGCAAUAAAUACAACCAGCAUUCACCAAAAGAAGGCAAAGCUUCUCUCAGCAAAGUCUGUCAUCUGUUUUCCUCUACUGAACUCAAAAAAGGCAGUCGCUGGAAAGGAUAUUUUAUAUGCCUGUUACCUUCACAUACACAUAUGGAUUAGUUCCUGAAUUGAAGAAACACUAAGGAUAAUGAACUAAAUCCCAGACCACUGUCACUGUGGCUAUCAUCUCAUGACACAACAUACCCUGUGGCACUGUCCUGUGCAGAAGCACAGACAAAUAUAGAAGCCUCAUUCAUCCGGUUCAGAAGCACUCACUGAAAAUAAGUCAGAUGAAUCACAACUUUAAAGAGCCUCAUUAUCUUUGCUAACAAGGUGACUAAGGAAGAUGUUUGAAGUUUGUACUACAUGCCUGUAAUGCUGCGUGGAAAAGAAAACCACAACUUUUUCCAUAUCCAGUAAGUACAUUUGCUUGAAAAGUCUUUUUCUUUUGGGGAAGAAUCACUCAAGACAUUGGUAAAACAUGAGUUUGAAAAAACAUUGCUUGAAAGUAUUCUUAUUAUCUCUUUAAUGAAAAGGAAUGGAUGAGCAUUUACUUUGAGAUACUUGGGAUUCUUCGUUAUUUGAUACAUAUCCAAUAAUUUCUGGAAAAUUCCUGAAAGUAUCAUGUAUGUAUCACAAUUUGCAGAAGAUGUAAUUAGAUCUCAAGAGAAGCUGCAAGCUAUGAAACAAGAGAGAUAAUAAAUGAAUGAAAAUAGGAGCCUGGAAAAGUUGUGAGACAUGAAAAGAAGACGGAUGGUUUGGUGCAGGCCUUAGAAAUGAAACAAGAGUCAUAGAAUGUAGGGAGAAGAGAAAUGGUCUUAGCAUUGAGUGUUCAAAUACUGCUUUUAUGGUACUGAGAGGCAGGGAUUGCACUGCAAAUAUCUACUGAAGGAACCUCUCCUAACAUGAAGUCUGCUUUUUUACAAGCUAAGUAUAGUCUCCAUUCUAUUUGUGGCCCCUAGCAAAGUGUUGGGGCACUUAACAGAAAGCACUAAGACUGCUGAAAAAUGUGAUAAUCUCUCGUGGAGCCCAAGUCUGGGUGCAAGAGGUGAGUGUCCUGCCCCAGCAGGCACUCUGUCCUGACUCUCUCCUCUUCCCAUAGGCCACUGCUAAUCCUGGUCAGGGCUGUUUCUGAAAUCCCAACUGGAGCAGACCCAUUCACCAGGUGACAAGCUUGUGUAAGGCAACUACGGGAAGACGUUUAAACCCAAAUCAAUACAUAAACAUUUCAAUAAAGAUAAAAAACAGUCAUUGCCAAUUUGUUAAACAGUCCAACAGUUAGUACAAUACUUCACUUAUAAAACUAUUUGAAAAUCUGUCUAUUUUCAUUUGGUUAAAAAAAAAAAAAGAACAAAAGCAAAUGCAAACCAAACCCAGAUGCAAAUGCAAGGAUAGUUUAAAAGAACAAUCUUUUACAAGAAUCUAGAAAUAUUUCAUGACAAAACCUGGAAAUAGUGUGACACUCAACUGUCUGUCUACUGACAGUUUCCACCACCAACAUUUAGACAAAAUAUAAGCCAAGAUCUAAAAACUGUAAAUCAUGGAGAAAGCUCUAUGUACCACGCAGACUGCACCUUAUAGCUCCUGGAUGUGCCACUGGGAAAUCAACUCCUCACUCUCAUCCACACUAACAGUAAGAGGCACUCCAUUUUUCUCAAGACACAGAACUGUACAAUCACCAUGACUGGAAAUGAUUAUCUAGUCCAAACGUCCACCUACCACCAAUUUUUCCCCACUAAACCAUGUCCCUUAGUACAAGGUCUAAACACUUCUCAAACACCUCCAGGGAGUGUGAGUCAACCAUUUUCCUGGCCAGGCUGUUAAAAUACCUCACCACUCUACUGGGGAACAAAUUUUUCCUAAUACCCAACCUGAACCUCCUCUGGUGCAACUUGUCCUAUUGCAGUUACCUGGGAGAAGAGGCCAACCCUACUCGCCACAAUCUCCUUUCUGAGAAUUGUAGAGAGUUGUAAGGUCUGCCCUGAGAUUCCUCCAGACUAAACAAUCCCAAUUCCCACAGCUGCUCCUCAUAAGACUUGAGUUCCAGACCCCUCACCAGCCUUACUGUCCUCCUCUGGACACGCUCCGGGGCCUCUGUCUUAUUACACUAUUCCCCAUUCAACACUUUGUGAUGGUGUAGAUCAGAGGUGCAAAACACACUCAACCAGGUAAGUUAGGUCUGUGUCCUGCUGGUAGACUAAAAUAAUCAAGCUUCCCAAAAGAGCUGCUAGGGCACAGCGAGCUGCAUCACCAGCCUUGGGCCUGCCACUCAUCUCUUCUCUUUCCCUGCACUUGGGUUUUGCACUCAGAGUGGCUGGGCAGAGAGGGAGAACCCAUAGUGACUGACUGUCAGAAACUGCUGCAUGACAGAAUGAUGCAGUUCAGUGCAGGUAAAUUGGGAGCUUUAAGGUAGCCCAUUAGAGAUAAGACCUUCUGAGGCAUACAGGUGGAUUUUUUUUUGUUAACCUUUACAAUAGCAAGCAGUGAUCUUAUACACCAGAAAUAGCUUUCUUGAACUGAUGGGCCAGGGAUGCUACUCACUCCCAAAUUCAAAAACAAGGUUUGCCUCUGUGAGCAGAACCCAGAACUGCCCCACAUCAGACCAGAGCCAGCUCCAGCUGCUCCAAAAGCGAACUGCUGCUGCCAGAGCUGAGCUGUGAAUGAUGCUGGGUGCAGCUCUGGGAGAGCAGACCGAAAACAAGGAAAAACUGCAGUGCAACAGCAGCUGGGAGAGACGAGUGAGAUGCGUGACAUGAGCAACCCUGCAGGUACCAAGGUAAGCGUAGAAGAAGGGUGGGAGAUGUUCUAGGUGUGGAGCAGAAGUUCCAGUAGCCCAGGAGAGUCCUGUGGAGAUGCAGGCCUUACUCAUGCACCUGAUGAGCACCACAGAAAGUAUAUCUCCAGGUCUAGCCACGAAGGAGCCCAUAGUGGACUAGGCAGAGAGGACCAUAAAGGAGCAGCAGGGACAAAGCAUUACAGACCAAUCACUGCCCCCAUUCCCUGUUCCUCUGUGUCCAUCAGGGGGACGAGGCAGAAGAUUUGGGCACGAAGUUGAGGCUGAGAAGUAGGGGGUGGAUUGGAGGAAGGUGUUUUAAGCUUUGUUUCUCAUUAUGCUACUCUAUUUUUAAUUGCAACAAAUUAAAUUAAUCUUCCCCAAGCAGCAUCUGUUUUGCCUGUGCAGCCAUCAGUGAGUGAUAUCCCUGCCUUUAUCUCAGCCCAGCGGCUGAGAUCUCAUCUUCUCCCUGCGCCUUGCUGUGCAGAGGGAACAAGAGAGCAGCUUGGUGGGCACCUGGCAGCCAGCCAAGGUCAACCCACCACGGAGGCUCAAAGUCUGCCUUUAGAAGCAAAGGAAAGAACAACCGACACGUUUUUAUGGCUGCUCAUGCACGUCUCAAGAGUCCGCUGAGAACUACAGCAUCACCAGUGAGACUUCCAAAGGAGUGUCCAAUGGAAAACAAAAUAUUGACAGCACGUGUGUGGAUGUCAAUUCUGCAAAGCUAUCUUAAAGUGAAAGUUUUAUGCGUUCUGUGUGAAUCAUUAUAUACGUAAUAUAUUUUAUAGUACAGCGUAUUAUACAUAGCAGAUAUAUCAUGCAUCCUCUCUCCAGAAAUAUAUAUACAUGCAUACAAA